UGUAGAGUGGUCCAGUGGUUUGAGUAUUGGACUGUGACUCUGGAGACCAUGGUUCAAAUCCCAGCUCAGCUA